rnacentral:tRNA from 1 species
UCCCUCGAGGUCCAGUGGUUAGGACUUGGUGUUUUCACUGCCAUGGGCCUGGGUUCAAUCCCUGGUUGGGGAA